AUACCGUGAAACUGCGAAUGGCUCAUUAAAUCAGUUAUCGUUUAUUUGAUAGUACCUUACUACAUGGAUACCUGUGGUAAUUCUAGAGCUAAUACAUGCUAAAAACCUCGACUUCGGGAGGGGUGUAUUUAUUAGAUAAAAAACCAAUGCCCUUCGGGGCUCCUUGGUGAUUCACAAUAACUUCUCAGAUCGCAUGGCCUUGCGCCGGCGACGGUUCAUUCAAAUUUCUGCCCUAUCAACUUUCGAUGGUAAGGUAUUGGCUUACCAUGGUUUCUACGGGUAACGGGGAAUUAGGGUUCGAUUCCGGAGAGUUAGCCUGAGAAACGGCUAACACAUCCAAGGAAGGCAGCAGGCGCGCAAAUUACCCAAUCCUGAUACAGGGAGGUAGUGACAAUAAAUACUGAUACAGGGCUCUUUUGGGUCUUGUAAUUGGAAUGAGUACAAUUUAAACCUCUUAACGAGGAACAAUUGGAGGGCAAGUCUGGUGCCAGCAGCCGCGGUAAUUCCAGCUCCAAUAGCGUAUAUUAAAGUUGUUGCAGUUAAAAAGCUCGUAGUUGAACCUUUGGCCUGGCUGGCAGGUCCGCCUCACCGCGUGCACUUGUCCGGCCGGGCCUUUUCUUCUGGAGAACCGCAUGCCCUUCACUGGGUGUGUUGGGGACCAGGACUUUUACUUUGAAAAAAUUAGAGUGUUCAAAGCAGGCCUUUGCUCGAAUAUUACAGCAUGGAAUAAUGGAAUAGGACGUGCGGUUCUAUUUUGUUGGUUUCUAGGACCGCCGUAAUGAUUAAUAGGGACAGUCGGGGGCAUCAGUAUUCAAUUGUCAGAGGUGAAAUUCUUGGAUUUAUUGAAGACUAACUACUGCGAAAGCAUUUGCCAAGGAUGUUUUCAUUAAUCAGUGAACGAAAGUUAGGGGAUCGAAGACGAUCAGAUACCGUCGUAGUCUUAACCAUAAACUAUGCCGACUAGGGAUCGGGCGGUGUUAUUAUUUUG
rnacentral:rRNA from 1 species